ensembl:lncRNA
UGAAGCUUUCGCUGUGCGCUGGAAAGAGAAGCUGGCCAGGGGUUACACUUAACUGUUUAUCUAUCUGCCAAACUGGAACGUACAGGGAGGGCCGAACACACAUAAUACAGUAGCUGCUAAUGUGUUAACGAAAUGAAGCUCAACAGACCUGGCCUUGGAACUAGAUGAAGCUGUCUGUCACGGCGGGGUGCACACCCGAUGUGGAAACAGGACCCAAAGCAGAUGAUGACGAGGAGUAACAUCUACAGGAAGCGGUGCCUGAGGAAAGCGGGGAGGAUCAUCAAGGACUCCAGUUACCCCAGCCAUAAACUGUUCAGACUGCUUCCAUCAGGAAGGAGGUUCUGCAGCAUCCGGUCCCGUACCAGCAGACUGAGAGACAGCUUCUUCCAUCAGGCCAUCAGACUGCUGAACACGUCAUAGACACCUCAGCUUCACUACUGGAACUUCAACAUUAUGCACUCCACACUGUAUAUAAAUGCCACUUGUUUUGCACAUAUUCAACUCUGUAUAUUCUAUAUAUUUUAUUAUUAUUAUUAUUAUUUUUUAUUAUUUUUAUUUAUCUAUUUUUUACUAUUUAAUUUGUAAAAAUGUGUAUACACACACACACAGGAAAAUAUUUAGUAUACACAUCCAGAAAUGCAUACACUAUUAUAUAUUGUACAUACAGUGGGGCAAAAAAGUAUUUAGUCAGCCACCGAUUGUGCCCCCACUU